rnacentral:rRNA from 1 species
CACGUAGGGCGCAAGCGUUGUCCGGAAUUAUUGGGCGUAAAGAGCUCGCAGGCGGACUGUCACGUCUGCUGUGAAAAGCUGGGGCUUAACCCUGGCCUUGCAGUGGAUACGGGCAGACUAGAGGUAGGUAGGGGAGAAUGGAAUUCCCGGUGUAGCGGUGAAAUGCGCAGAUAUCAGGAGGAACACCGGUGGCGAAGGCGGUUCUCUGGGCCCUACCUGACACUGAGGAGCGAAAGCGUGGGGAGCGAACAGG